rnacentral:tRNA from 1 species
GGGGACGUAGCUCAGUUGAGAGAGCGCCUGCCUUGCAAGCAGAGGGUCGCGGGUUUGAAUCCCGCCGUUUCCACCA